rnacentral:rRNA from 1 species
AUGGCGCUGCCAAUAGUUCAUCCGAGCCAGGGAGAACCUACCCUACUGCCGCCGGCCGGGAAGCAAUUCAGCAACCAGCUGGCUGCUGCUGUGAGGAGCAUCAACUGGAGCUACGCCAUAUUCUGGUCCAUUUCGGCCAGCCGUCCAGGGGUUCUGACGUGGAAGGACGGGUUCUACAACGGCGAGAUAAAGACGAGGAAGGUCACCAGCUCAGCGGACCUCACCCCCGACCAGCUCGUCCUGCAGAGGAGCGAGCAGCUGAGGGAGCUCUACGAGUCCCUCCUCUCCGGCCAGUGCGACCACCGGGCGAGGCGUCCGGCCGCCGCGCUGUCGCCGGAGGACCUCGGGGACGCCGAAUGGUACUACAUCGUCUGCAUGGGUUACGCCUUCCGCCCUGGCCAAGGGUUGCCAGGCAGAAGUUUUGCAAGCAACGAGCAUGUUUGGCUGUGCAAUGCUCCGUGCGCAGACACCAAAACUUUCCAAAGAGCGCUCUUAGCAAAGGUUUUGGAGGACAGGGACAUGUUGAACUGGAUCAACACAUCUUUCUGGGACCUACAGUUCACGACAUGCUCGAAAUCGGAGGAGCCGAACUCCAACCCAUCGGCAGACGAUGCUGGGGAGGCCGACAUCGUGUUCGAAGACCUCGACCGCAACACCAUGGCCGUGGUGAUCCCCGGGGAACUCGAGCUAGGGCAGGUCGAGUUCAUGUCCGACAGCACAAAGGAGAUUAACGAGUUCUACGGCCUCUGCGACGAGCUGGACGUGGAGGCUCUCGAGGAAAACUGGAUCAUGGGCGGGUCUUUCGAGCUCAUCGUGCUUUGCGGCUUGGAAGAGAUCAUGGGACUCGGCCGAAGCGUAGCUGCACCGGUCGACGGGGAGUCACAGAAGUUGCUGAAGAAAGCUUUAGCCAGUGGCGCAUGGGCAAAUAAUGGUGGCGACGACACUGCGAGAGCUCAGGAAAGCAUCAACACCAAAAACCAUGUCAUUUCGGAGAGGAGGCGCCGGGAGAAGCUCAACGAGAUGUUUCUGAUUCUCAAGUCGUUGGUCCCGUCUAUUCACAAGGGACUGGAGCACAAGGUGGAGGAGCUAGAAUCCAACAGGGCGGCCGGAAUAGCUGUGAGGAAAUGCCAUGAAGUCCCUGGGAAGAAGGUGUUAGCUGGUUCCAAGAGAAAGGCGCCGGAGGUCGGCGGGGACGACGCGGAAAGGGUGCUCACCAAGGACGACGGCCUGAGCAGCGUCGUCAACGUCACCGUGACGGACAAAGAGGUGCUCCUGGAGGUGCAAUGCCAGUGGAAGGAGCUGCUCAUGACACAAGUGUUUGAUGCCAUUAAGAGUCUCUGCCUGGACGUGCUCUCCGUCCGUGCUGUUAGAGUAGUCAUUAUGGUAUACGACUUCUAG